rnacentral:rRNA from 1 species
GAUGAACGCUAGCGGCAGGCUUAAUACAUGCAAGUCGAGGGGCAGCAUGAUUGUAGCAAUACAAUUGAUGGCGACCGGCAAAUGGGUGCGGAACACGUACACAACCUCCCAAUAAGUGGGGAAUAGCCCAGAGAAAUUUGGAUUAAUACCCCGUAACAUAACGAUGUGGCAUCACAUUGUUGUUAUAGAUUUUUCGCUUAUUGAUGGGUGUGCGGCUGAUUAGAUAGUUGGCGGGGUAACGGCCCACCAAGUCUACGAUCAGUAGCUGAUGUGAGAGCAUGAUCAGCCACACGGGCACUGAGACACGGGCCCGACUCCUACGGGAGGCAGCAGUAAGGAAUAUUGGACAAUGGACGCAAGUCUGAUCCAGCCAUGCCGCGUGAAGGAUUAAGGUCCUCUGGAUUGUAAACUUCUUUUAUAAGGGACGAAAAAAGGCUUUUCUAAGUCGUCUGACGGUACCUUAUGAAUAAGCACCGGCUAACUCCGUGCCAGCAGCCGCAGUAAUAC